rnacentral:ncRNA from 1 species
UUCUCCUCGAAAUAGCUUUAGGGCUAGCCUUGUGUAGUAGUAUAUGGGGGUAGAGCACUGACUGAGGUAGGGGCCUAACCAGGUUACCAAACUCUAUCAAACUCCGAAUACCGUAUAUGUAAGCACAGGAGUCAGACUGCGGGAGCUAAGUUCCGUGGUCAAAAGGAAAACAGUCCAGAUCGUCAAUUAAGGUCCCAAAGAUAUAGCUAAGUGGAAAACGAUGUGAUUUUGCAUAAACAACCAGGAUGUUGGCUCAGAAGCAGCCAUACAUUCAAAGAGUGCGUAAUAGCUCACUGGUCGAGUGAAGUUGCGCGGAAAAUUACCGGGGCUAAGCUAUACACCGAAAUUGCGGAUUUACACUUGAAAGACAGUGUAAGUGGUAGAGGAGCAUUCUGUAGUAGGGAGAAGCAAAAGCGAGAGCAUUUGUGGACGAGGCAGAAGAGAGAAUGCUGGAAUAAGUAGCGAGAGCAAGGUGAGAAUCCUUGCCGUCGAAAGUCUAAGGUUUCCUGGGGAAGGUUCGUCCGCCCAGGGUAAGUCGGGACCUAAGGAGAGGCCGAGAAGGCGUAUCUGAUGGACAGCAGGUUGAAAUU